CUUCUUUUGGCAGAAUAUAUGCUGAAAUUGGAAUUAUACAGAGAAGAUUAGCAUGGCCCCUAUGUAAGGAUGACAAAUUCAGGCUAUGUUUCACACUUAA
ensembl:snRNA U6 U6 spliceosomal RNA